rnacentral:misc_RNA from 1 species
ACCAACAUCUCUACCCUCAUAAUACCCUACCGAGCUUGGCAUGAAGAAAUGGUCACUUGGUUGGAUGGUAACUCCCCGAAAGCUUUGGUUUGGACUGGCAGCUGCUUUCCUCAGGUCACAAAUUGGUUCAGAGAUCUUGUCGUGUGUCCUCUCUACACCUAUUCUUUCUCCUUCAAGUCGUUGAAUUCUUUGGGAGUAUACUGCAGCUGCCUUGCCAAGG